rnacentral:rRNA from 1 species
CCUACGGGAGGCAGCAGUGAGGAAUAUUGGUCAAUGGACGAGAGUCUGAACCAGCCAUGUAGCGUGAAGGAUGACGGCCCUAUGGGUUGUAAACUUCUUUUAUAUGGGGGUAAAUGGUUCCACGUGUAGCCUUUUGUAUGUACCGUAUGAAUAAGGAUCGGCUAACUCCGUGCCAGCAGCCGCGGUAAUACGGAGGAUCCGAGCGUUAUCCGGAUUUAUUGGGUUUAAAGGGAGCGUAGGUGGAUGGUUAAGUCAGUUGUGAAAGUCUGCGGCUCAACCGUAAAAUUGCAUUUGAUACUGGCAGUCUAGAGGAUAGUAGAGGUGGGCGGAAUUCGUGGUGUAGCGGUGAAAUGCUUAGAGAUGACGAAGAACUCCGAUUGCGAAGGCAGUUCACUGGACUGCAACUGACACUGAGGCUCGAAAGUGUGGGGAGCAAACAGGAUUAGAUACCCCAGUAGUC